AAUCUAUUAGCCCAUUUUAUAAAUAAUAAUUUAUAAUUUAAUAAUUAAUAAUUUUUUAGUUUUUUAAAAUUUAUUCUUAAAUAGCUAUGCUGGAUAGCGAUGUGAUCAAACAGUUGCUUACCACUAUGGGGAUCCAGUUAGGUUCCAGGUUCCCACGUACCAGUUUUUCAGAAGUGAUCUGGCCCUGGCCAGUUGAACUUCAUCUUUGUCUUCCUAUUGACCUCACUCUGAUGGAUUCUAAAAGUGGCAUCCACCAGAUAAAAUAUAUAUUGUGCGAUAUAGCAGUUUAAUUAAAACUAGCCUAAUCUAUUCUCUUACUGUAAUUUUAAAAAUUUUAUUUUAUUACAUUUAGCUAAAACAAUAAUUCAUAUAAAC
rnacentral:lncRNA from 1 species